UCGGAUAUAGUGCAAAGGAUAGCGCGGUUCUCGUGAUCGUUCGUCGGGAAUCCGGACGGAGAGCAGAUCGGGGUUCAAUUCCCCGUUUCCGUA